GGCGGACGGGUGAGUAAUGCUUAGGAAUCUGCCUAUUAGUGGGGGACAACGUUCCGAAAGGAACGCUAAUACCGCAUACGCCCUACGGGGGAAAGCAGGGGAUCUUCGGACCUUGCGCUAAUAGAUGAGCCUAAGUCGGAUUAGCUAGUUGGUGGGGUAAAGGCCUACCAAGGCGACGAUCUGUAGCGGGUCUGAGAGGAUGAUCCGCCACACUGGGACUGAGACACGGCCCAGACUCCUACGGGAGGCAGCAGUGGGGAAUAUUGGACAAUGGGCGCAAGCCUGAUCCAGCCAUGCCGCGUGUGUGAAGAAGGCCUUUUGGUUGUAAAGCACUUUAAGCGAGGAGGAGGCUCCUUUAGUUAAUACCUAAAGUGAGUGGACGUUACUCGCAGAAUAAGCACCGGCUAACUCUGUGCCAGCAGCCGCGGUAAUACAGAGGGUGCGAGCGUUAAUCGGAUUUACUGGGCGUAAAGCGUGCGUAGGCGGCUUUUUAAGUCGGAUGUGAAAUCCCUGAGCUUAACUUAGGAAUUGCAUUUGAUACUGGAAAGCUAGAGUAUGGGAGAGGAUGGUAGAAUUCCAGGUGUAGCGGUGAAAUGCGUAGGGAUCUGGAGGAAUACCGAUGGCGAAGGCAGCCAUCUGGCCUAAUACUGACGCUGAGGUACGAAAGCAUAGGGAGCAAACAGGAUUAGAUACCCUGGUAGUCCAUGCCGUAAACGAUGUCUACUAGCCGUUGGGGCCUUUGAGGCUUUAGUGGCGCAGCUAACGCGAUAAGUAGACC
rnacentral:rRNA from 1 species